CAAGGAAUUUUCCCCAAUGGGCUCACGCCUGAGGGAGCAACGCCGCGUGGGGGACGACGGCCUUCGGGUUGUAAACCCCUUUUGGGCGGGAAGAGACUGACGGUACCGCCCGAAGAAGCCCCGGCUAACUCCGUGCCAGCAGCCGCGGUAAGACGGAGGGGGCAAGCGUUGUCCGGAAUCACUGGGCGUAAAGCGCACGUAGGCGGUGCGGUGCGUCGGUGCUGAAACCGCGGGGCUCAACCCCGCGCCGCGUGCCGAUACGACCGCACUGGAGGCAGGCAGAGGGUGGCGGAAUUCCGGGUGUAGUGGUGAAAUGCGUAGAGAUCCGGAGGAACGCCUGUGGCGCAAGCGGCCACCUGGGCCUGACCUGACGCUGAGGUGCGAAAGCGUGGGGAGCGAACCGG
rnacentral:rRNA from 1 species